CCUACGGGUGGCAGCAGUGGGGAAUAUUGGACAAUGGGCGAAAGCCUGAUCCAGCCAUGCCGCGUGUGUGAAGAAGGCCUUCGGGUUGUAAAGCACUUUCAGUGGGGAAGAAAGCCUUGGGGCUAAUACCCUCGAGGAAGGACAUCACCCACAGAAGAAGCACCGGCUAACUCCGUGCCAGCAGCCGCGGUAAUACGGAGGGUGCGAGCGUUAAUCGGAAUUACUGGGCGUAAGGCGCGCGUAGGCGGUCUGAUAAGCCGGUUGUGAAAGCCCCGGGCUCAACCUGGGAACGGCAUCCGGAACUGUCAGGCUAGAGUGCAGGAGAGGAAGGUAGAAUUCCCGGUGUAGCGGUGAAAUGCGUAGAGAUCGGGAGGAAUACCAGUGGCGAAGGCGGCCUUCUGGACUGACACUGACGCUGAGGUGCGAAAGCGUGGGUAGCAAACAGGAUUAGAUACCCCAGUAGUC
rnacentral:rRNA from 1 species